GAUGAAGAACGCAGCGAAAUGCGAUACGUAAUGUGAAUUGCAGAAUUCAGUGAAUCAUCGAGUCUUUGAACGCACAUUGCGCCCCCUGGUAUUCCGGGGGGCAUGCCUGUCCGAGCGUCAUUGCUGCCCUCAAGCACGGCUUGUGUGUUGGGCCUCCGUCCUCCUCCCGGGGGACGGGCCCGAAAGGCAGCGGCGGCACCGCGUCCGGUCCUCGAGCGUAUGGGGCUUCGUCACCCGCUCUUGUAGGCCCGGCCGGCGCUUGCCGAUCAACCCAAAUUUUUAUCCAGGUUGACCUCGGAUCAGGUAGGGAUACCCGCUGAACUUAAGCAUAUCAAUAAGCGGAGGA
rnacentral:misc_RNA from 1 species